rnacentral:rRNA from 1 species
GACGAACGCUGGCGGCGUGCUUAACACACGCAAGUCGAACGGAAAGGCCCCUUUGGGGGUACUCGAGUGGCGAACGGGUGAGUAACACGUGAGUAACCUGCCCUUGACUUCGGGAUAACUUCAGGAAACUGGGGCUAAUACCGGAUAGGAAUCCUUGCUGCAUGGUGGGGGUUGGAAAGCUUCGGCGGUUUUGGAUGGACUCGCGGCUUAUCAGCUUGUUGGUGGGGUAGUGGCUUACCAAGGCUUUGACGGGUAGCCGGCCUGAGAGGGCGACCGGCCACAUUGGGACUGAGAUACGGCCCAGACUCCUACGGGAGGCAGCAGUGGGGAAUAUUGCACAAUGGGCGGAAGCCUGAUGCAGCAACGCCGCGUGCGGGAUGACGGCCUUCGGGUUGUAAACCGCUUUCAGCAGGGGCGAAGCUUUUGUGACGGUACCUGCAGAAGAAGCACCGGCUAACUACGUG